GAUGAACGCUGGCGGCGUGCCUAAUACAUGCAAGUCGAGCGAACAGACGAGGAGCUUGCUCCUCUGACGUUAGCGGCGGACGGGUGAGUAACACGUGGAUAACCUACCUAUAAGACUGGGAUAACUUCGGGAAACCGGAGCUAAUACCGGAUAAUAUAUUGAACCGCAUGGUUCAAUAGUGAAAGACGGUUUUGCUGUCACUUAUAGAUGGAUCCGCGCCGCAUUAGCUAGUUGGUAAGGUAACGGCUUACCAAGGCAACGAUGCGUAGCCGACCUGAGAGGGUGAUCGGCCACACUGGAACUGAGACACGGUCCAGACUCCUACGGGAGGCAGCAGUAGGGAAUCUUCCGCAAUGGGCGAAAGCUUGACGGAGCAACGCCGCGUGAGUGAUGAAGGUCUUCGGAUCGUAAAACUCUGUUAUUAGGGAAGAACAAAUGUGUAAGUAACUAUGCACAUCUUGACGGUACCUAAUCAGAAAGCCACGGCUAACUACGUG
rnacentral:rRNA from 1 species